GGUUGGGGGGGGAGCAGACAGGAUUAGAGUUCAAGUGCACGUGAAGAAAAAACAGCAGCCAAGCAGGAAAAGGAACGGCUCCUUUCUCUCCCCCGUCUUUCUUCCUCCUCUUCCUUUUUCCCCACAGCUCUCGGCGGAAGAAGUUAAAAAGAGGAAAAGAAUCCCUCUUUCCUCCUCCUUCGCCUCCUCCCUCUCUGCUGGAUAUUUCUCCCUCGCUUGCUCUCUCAUUUUCUCUCAGCCCUCCCACCUCCCAAGGCACUUCUUCUCACGCCUUCCUUCUCCUCACGCUAUCUUACGAUCCCACUUUUCCCCCCGCCAAGACCCAACGCGACGGGCUUUUUCCUUCUCUCGGCGAGGUAGGGCGAGCUCGGAUGCGGCGCGUUCCAUUCGAUUAUCACCCCCCCCCCCACACACCUCCCCUGAGAGAUUCCUGCCUUGUGAGGGGGGGGGGGGGUAAAAUGGAGAGCGUGGUCAUGCGGGAGAAAGAGGAGAACGAGUACCGGCAGUGGCCGAGGUUAAAUGGGAGGGAGGAGAGAAGCGAGGUGGGGAUGACUUAAAAAAAAAAAAUACGGCGAGAAGUGAGGGGGGCUCAAGAUAUAGAAGCUGACUUUUUCUUCUUCUUCUGUGGUGACCAUCUCAUUCAUCUAUGGAGAAUGCAAAACGACAACUUUGAAGAUGCCAUUUUGAUCAGGAAUGCGGCGGCGGGUCAAGCAGGCAAACUCCCGGCACGGCCAGCCAUGGGAAAAGUCAAUGAAAGACGGAUGCCAGGUAAUUUGCACCAAAUGAUGUUCGGGGGGAAAAAAAAAAAAGAAAAAAAAGAACAUACAUCACGACGCAUUUUCACAUGCACUACCCCGGUAGCUAUUGACAACUGUGCCCUAGCAACUGUCGAGGGGCAUCGUGCCAAGUCUUUGCGUUUGCCUGGUGGUCCGUUCCCAUGGUAAUGUCCCCCCCCCCAGACUUUGUAAAUAAUGUCAGAGCGCGAGAGCUUCUCGACACAAAUUGCACCAGCGCCACCUAAUUCCGGCUAUCCGUAUUAUUUUGAUUGCGUCUCACCACUUUGCGAACUAUUUUAAAGGGGGGGUCGUUAUUUUACCAAAAUAGCUGCAAAAAGUACCAAUUUUAUUUCCAGUUCUUAUGUAAAAAAAAAAAAACUAUAUAAUUAAAAUUCUGACAAAUUGUUUUUGCUGAUUUUAUCAAAUGGAAAAAAAAUAAUUGUAUGUCAUCGUUCAGAUUUAAGUACAAUGUUAAGACGAAAAUAAUUCGACCAGACUAGUCGACAUUUUACCAGA